rnacentral:rRNA from 1 species
UACGUAGGGUGCGAGCGUUAUUCGGAAUCACUGGGCGUAAAGGGUGCGCAGGCGGCCGAGUAAGUCGGGUGUGAAAGCCCCGGGCUUAACUUGGGAAUUGCGCUGGAAACUACUUUGCUGGAGUGUGGCAGAGGAAGGUGGAAUUCCACGUGUAGCGGUGAAAUGCGUAGAGAUGCGGAGGAACACCGAUGGCGAAGGCAGCCCCCUGGGCUAACACUGACGCUCAGGCGCGAAAGCGUGGGGAGCAAACAGG